AGCGAACGCUGGCGGCAGGCCUAACACAUGCAAGUCGAACGGAUCCUUCGGGAUUAGUGGCGGACGGGUGAGUAACACGUGGGAACGUGCCUUUUGGUUCGGAACAACUCAGGGAAACUUGAGCUAAUACCGGAUGUGCCCUUCGGGGGAAAGAUUUAUCGCCAUUAGAGCGGCCCGCGUCUGAUUAGCUAGUUGGUGGGGUAAAGGCCCACCAAGGCGACGAUCAGUAGCUGGUCUGAGAGGAUGAUCAGCCACAUUGGGACUGAGACACGGCCCAAACUCCUACGGGAGGCAGCAGUGGGGAAUCUUGCGCAAUGGGCGAAAGCCUGACGCAGCCAUGCCGCGUGAAUGAUGAAGGUCUUAGGAUUGUAAAAUUCUUUCACCGGGGACGAUAAUGACGGUACCCGGAGAAGAAGCCCCGGCUAACUUCGUGCCAGCAGCCGCGGUAAUACGAAGGGGGCUAGCGUUGCUCGGAAUUACUGGGCGUAAAGGGAGCGUAGGCGGACUGUUAAGUUAGAGGUGAAAGCCCAGGGCUCAACCUUGGAAUUGCCUUUGAUACUGGCAGUCUUGAGUACGGAAGAGGUAUGUGGAACUCCGAGUGUAGAGGUGAAAUUCGUAGAUAUUCGGAAGAACACCAGUGGCGAAGGCGACAUACUGGUCCGUUACUGACGCUGAGGCUCGAAAGCGUGGGGAGCAAACAGG
rnacentral:rRNA from 1 species